AGCCACCAGUACUAUGGCUGAGCAGAAAAAUAUCCCAGAGAGAGGUUGUCAUAGGAACUGUACCAGAGGAGCAGCUACGCACAUGACAGGUUGUACCAUGCAAAGAAGAGAAGAAGAAACUGAUCUUGAAGCUACUCUUACCAUCAGUUUUAGGGAACAAAUCUUUCAUGAAUCUCCUCAUGGAAAUUGUCCUCAGUGACAGCAGGGGUAGGUGAGAUACUACAAGGCUAUGGGGCUGAUGAUAUAUGUACCUUACAGGAUUUUUAUAGGAGAUUAAAAUAGAUAAGAUACGUUAAAUAUCUACUACAUAAAGUUCCUGAAAAAACAGUAACAAAUAGCAAUAAUCUUUAAUGUCUCAUGUAAUCCUCGCUAUAGCCCUCUAAGGAAGACACAGUCAUUAUUCAAAAUUUCCAGAUGAACAAAUGAAGCACUUGUUCAAGGUCACAUGUGUUCCAGUCAGAAGAUUCUGAAAUGCCUAAGCCCCUUCUUACAAGGGAGGCUGCAGGUAUAAUGGAGUUAUAAUGGAGGUUUCGUUGUCUGGGGAAAAUGGCCAUGAUGACCGGAAGGAACCUUACUGCCUACUGCACUCUCGGGAUGUACCCAGCAUUCCACAGACAGGGUUAGGCGUCAUUGGGGAAGUGGGGAGAGAAGGGAGAUUGCAGAGGAAAGGGAUUCCUGGGCUCCUACUCAGGAAAGACUCUGUAAAGACUGAGGAAGCUCACUGAAAAAUAAAUAUUUCAACUGCGGA